rnacentral:pre_miRNA from 1 species
CAAUCAUCGUACAGAAGAUUAAUGAAGUUGCUUGUCGAUGGGGGUGUCCCCAUCGACAAGCAACUUCAUUAAUCUUCAUUAAUC